UGGGGAAUUUUUGGACAAUGGGCGAAAGCCUGAUCCAGCAAUGCCGCGUGUGUGAAGAAGGCCUUCGGGUUGUAAAGCACUUUUGUCCGGAAAGAAACCCUUGGCUCUAAUACAGUCGGGGGAUGACGGUACCGGAAGAAUAAGCACCGGCUAACUACGUGCCAGCAGCCGCGGUAAUACGUAGGGUGCAAGCGUUAAUCGGAAUUACUGGGCGUAAAGCGUGCGCAGGCGGUUUGCUAAGACCGAUGUGAAAUCCCCGGGCUCAACCUGGGAACUGCAUUGGUGACUGGCAGGCUAGAGUAUGGCAGAGGGGGGUAGAAUUCCACGUGUAGCAGUGAAAUGCGUAGAGAUGUGGAGGAAUACCGAUGGCGAAGGCAGCCCCCUGGGCCAAGUACUGACGCUCAUGCACGAAAGCGUGGGGAGCAAACAGGAUUAGAUACCCUGGUAGUCCACGCCCUAAACGAUGUCAACUAGUUGUUGGGGAUUCAUUUCCUUAGUAACGUAGCUAACGCGUGAAGUUGACCGCCUGGGGAGUACGUCGCAAGAUUAAAACUCAAAGAAUUGACGGGGUC
rnacentral:rRNA from 1 species